rnacentral:lncRNA from 1 species
CAACAGACUAAUAAACCUGGAGGAGGAGGACUAAGGAAGGGUUUAAAUUUCUUUCUGAUUUGGGGAUGUGUGGUUUGUUGAGGUUUCUUUAGCCACAGAAGGCUCCAGUGAUGCUCAGGUAGCUCAGGCUGAGGGCAGCGGGAGGUGCAGCUCUGUCCCUGCUCUGCCCCUGAGGCCCCACGUGCGGAGCUGUGCCCGGCUGUGCCCAGCAGCAGCAGCAGCAGCAGCAGCAGGAUGUGCCUGUGGAGCUGUGCCCAGCAGUGCCCAGCAGCAGGAUGUGCCUGUGGAGCUGUGCCCAGCAGCAGGAUGGGCCUGUGGAGUGGGGCUGGAGGAGGCCGUGGGGAUGUGUGCAGGCCUGGAGCAGCCAUGCUCUGCAACCAGGCUGGGAGAGCUGGGGCUGUCCAGCCUGGGGAGGAGCAGGGGCCGGGGAGGCCUCACUGAGGCCUUGCAGAGCCUUAGGGGGUAGAGAGUGAUGGGGAAGGGAAGGGCUUUAGAUCAGAAGGGGGAGAUUGGGAUCAGAUGUUCAGAAGAGCUAUGAGGGCAGUGAGACAUUGGAACAGGCUGCCCAGAGAAGCUGUGGAUGCCCUGGAACUUUCCAGGCCAGGCUGGGCAGGGCCCUGAGCACCCUGAUCUGGUGGGUGGCAGCAGCAGCAGGUGAUGGUGGAGGUGCCUCCAUGGCACUCUGGAACUCCAUGGGUGGGCAGAGCAGACACCUGUUACCCGGGCAUGGAAUGUUGCCCCUGGUUGCCAGGGGCACUCCCACUUCCAAGGUUCUGUUGGCAUGGACUCUGUUGAGCCAGUUGACGGAUUCUCUGCUGCACAGCAGACGUGGAGCAUCUGUCUUCUCCAUCCCGGCUGGGAAUAGAGAGCGAAUUGCUGACAUUUGCGAGCCAAACUCUGCACUGACUGUACAGAUUUGGAAGAGCAGUUUUCUGUCACACCAACAAAUCUGCAGUGGGCUGCCUGAAGGAACCAAAGGGAUUGAUCGCAUCCCUGACGUUCUUUUUUGGUGUUUGCCCCACUUAUUCUGCUGGUGGUUUUUGAUCAGAAACCACCAUGAGCUCACAUCAGCGAAAGCGCCCUGGAGGAGCAGUUGGUUCCAGACCAGCUCGGAAACGGAGCAGGCUGCUGCCCUCCAGCGCAGGUGGAACUUCGCAGACCGAGCCAAGAGACCUUGA